rnacentral:lncRNA from 1 species
AAAUGUCAAUUGACUCCUCUCACUCAUAGUUGUACAAAUUACAGGGCUUUUUUUUAAUUGUCAUAAAACAUAUACAUUAUUCAUCUAUUCAGUUUCAUCUGAAGAGAAUCCAACAAAGAAGAAAUUUUAUUUUCCAAUAAAAUAUUAAAGCUGCUUUACCCCACAAGAGACAGAGCAGAAAUUCCAUCCAUGAUCUAUGUAAGUACAAAACUUUUUGCCUAUCAGAGCAUGUGUGAAUUUAAUUUUAUGAAAAUGUAGACCUGUUUUUUCCUGUUAUGCUUCAUAGUACUUGUGUAUGAAUAUGUAACAAUUUCAAUGUUUUUAUUAGUUUGUGAAGCCUUGGUACCAUGAUGACAACAAGAACAUCCUGUGCUUUUCCUAGCAAAUAUUGACUUAGAAGGACACUGUUGAUAUUUGUGCUGCAUCCUUAAUGGAAAGCACGUACAUAUUACAAGAUUUGUUUCCCUCUAAUGUAAAUACAGUGGAGCAGAAAAUUCAAGUGGUGAUUAUACACACGUCAUUACCUUUGCCUCUGGGUUAUGGAUUGAACUAGAACCCAGGUUAAGGUCAUCAUGACCCCCCCCCACCCCGCCCCUUAUCGGGCACUUCUAUCACUAAUGAAAAGAGGGUGUGCCAAGCUCAACACACACACACAUCUUUCUAAUUAACAGAAUCCCGCUCUGAUUCAUAAAAGUCCUAUCUAAAAGGGAGGGAGAAAUGAUGUUAGCAUUGAUACAGAGGUACAUGUCAGCUCAGUGCACAAACAUAGGUAAAUUAUGUAAGGAUAAAUCUUUCUCUUUUCCAGGAGACAGUUCACCACUCUCCCUCUGUAAAAGGAUUGUGGGAGACACAUAGGUAGUAAGGAGAAACCUCCAUCUAUCUCCCAACGAACCUCUGUGUCCCCAUGUUCCACCCAACUCUCCAUGAUUGAAUAAUUAAGCCCUUAAGUAGUUACCAUAUGUCCUUAAAUAGUUACAAUCAACCUCAAAUGAAAACACUCAGCAAAAAAAAGAUGUGGGAUCAAUGCUCUUGGUCCAAAGAUAAAAGAUACAUUAUGAAAAACAUAGGAAUGACUUUAUAAACAAAACAGAACUUUCUCAACAAUCUUAUUAACCAAUACUCUUUCAUCGUAAGUGAUCACGGUUAUUUGGCGUCAGAAGCAAAAUAUGGAGAGAUCUUUCUGCAGACAAGUGGAGACAAGGCACAAUAAAGGGAGAGUUAGGUGUGUAAAGAAAGUGAUGAAAUGGACAUACUUUAGUGUUUAAUUCAUAAGGAAGAA